GCUGAGCUCGCCGAGUUCCCGUCCCUCGGAGCGAGCCCCGGCGCCCCCGCGUGGCGCUGCCCGCCCGGCGGCACCGGGCACCGUGACCGGCCCGGGCCGGGAGCCGCUCUGCAGUGGGCCCGGCUGACAUGGAGCGGCUCUAACGUGGGCCAGGCUGACAUGGAGCGCCUCCAAUAGGCUGCAGGUUACCCUUGCCCUCGGCAGCCAGAGGAUCCGGGCCUGGCUCCCCCACAGUGCUCCCAAUGAUUUCAGAGGAUGCCAAGGCAGAACUGGUACAGAAAUCACUGUUUAAAUAUGGGGAGGUGGAGUGACGGUGAGAUUAGGAUACAGGUGCUGCAAAUAGGUUUGAGGAUUUGGUUAUUGGGUUUUGUCAGUCUGGGAUCCCCAAUAUCAGAAGGACAUGGAGCUGCUGGAGCAACACCAGAGGAGGCCCUGGAGAUGCUCUGAGGGCUGGAGCCCCUCAGCUCUGCAGCUGGACUGGGAGAGUUGGGGAUGCUCACCUGGAGAAGGGAAGGCUCUGGACAGACCUGGGAGGCCAAAUCUCAGUCCUGUGCCUAAAAGGGCUACAAAAGAACUGGAGGGGGCCUUGGGACAGGGGCCUGGAGUGACAGGACAAGGGGGAAUGGCUUUAAAUGAGAGAGAGCAGGACUAGAUUGGAUGUUGGGAAGAAAUUCUUGCCUGUGAGUGUGGUGGGGCCCUGGCACAGGCUGCCCAGAGAAGCUGUGGCUGCCCCAUCCCUGAAGUGCUCAGGGCCAGGCUGGAUGGGACCUUGAGCAACCUGGUCUAGUCCACAGCAGAGGGCUGGAACUGGGUCAGCUCUAAGGUCCCUGCCAACCCAAACCAUUUGAGGAUUCUCUGGGCUGGACUCUCACCCAGGUGCUGGGCUCUGCCACCCACCAUUCUGCAUUGCUGGGAUACAUCUGUGAAAAGUGACACUGUCUCAAGGAUGCUGCUUUAAUACAAAUUUUGAUGAAGUGGAAAUGCAAUAAUUAGCUUUUUCAGACUUGUACUGAGAACAAGAAUUUUCCUCUUCUGCUGCUGCAUUGUUCCAAGACUAUUUUAAAAAACAGUGGCCCAGGCCUUUGAGCUCAGCAGUGUCCCUCUACCAUCUCUCUCACAUGAAUAAUUCUGAUGUUUUCUGGUUUUACACUGAACCAAUCAGUUCAAUUAUUUUCAAAUUUGAUGUGGCUGCUUGUUUUAAAAAAUGCUCCUCAUCUUUUGUAAUCCUGAAAAAAAAAAGGAUGAUUUUUGCAGCAAGUCUCUGUCUCCCCUACCAUGUAGAUUAGGUUAUUUUUCAGAUUCUGUGGUCAGACCUGGCGCUCUCCCUGGCUCGCUCUCCCUCAGGAUGAGUUUUGUGGAUUUUUUCCUGUGGAUUUUCCCAACUUGUUGAUGGAGCAAAGCUGAGCUCUUUCAAGCCUGAUUGUCAUUAGAUUUUUGACAAUGCCACAUCACAUUUGUAUUGAAAAAUAAUCAGUGUGUUAUCUCCAUAGUCUCUAAAUCACCACCAGCAGCUAAAAAAAUCCUGUUUCUCUGUCAAAGUGGAAUGUGAGGUACUCUGAAGAGUGGGGAGCACAUUAAUUUAUGCCUGAAAGAAGCAUCCAAGAAGGGAACACGAGGCUGUGGAGCAGAUGCUGUGUCCAGGAGGCUGCUCCUUCACGUUCAGCACGUUAAACUCCCUCCCCCUGCAUGGCUGCUCAACUGGCUGUGCCUGCAGCCCAGGGAUGCUGUGAAUAUGUAGGUCAGGGCUCUUCUGGAUCUGAUUAAGCAUUAAAUCAAGCUCAGUUGCUCCAAUCUUUUCAGGUAUUUGCUUUGGUGUUAAGCUGCUCCCUUCCUCCUCCAUGUUCUCAGUGGUCAAAGGCCCUUAAUUGUAACUUACCCGUGGCUGGUGCUGGUGUGAUUGUCUGCACUCAGGGGAGAAAUGCUCAGCUUUAGGAUUACUUGCAGUGCAAUCACUACCUGAGUGCAGAACAAUUGAAAUUGGGCCACCUCCUUUUUAAGCAAUCUUGUUUUUGCCUUGCAGAUUAACCAGGGCUGGGGUUUGUGCCACUGCCACUGACUGGCCCACAGGAGCUGGGCUAUCGCUGCUGCAGCAGCUGCUUUCCCCAGCAGAUAACGGGAGGGGCUGGCCAGGAUGGUUGUGUGAUAUGUAGGGCACAGUGGGAGGUGCUGUGUGUGAUUAUUGCAUAUCUGGCACAGCCAUCUGCCUCUUUUUGGGGUGUGGGGUGUUUUUGCUGUUUUAACUUUCCCAAACUUCUAAUUCAACAGUAGAUUUCAAAGUUCACUGAGGAUGGAAUUUCCUCCUUUGGAAAGCUGUAAAGAGCUGUACCAAGUGUAAUCAGCAGUAUAAUUUUGAAUUACAUUUAUCCACAACUAUAAUUAAGCAUGGAAUUUAGCUUUCUGCCUGUUCCUAGAUUCCAUUAGAUUUGUUUUGUGUUGAGAGCAAACCCCAUCCCCCCUUUGCUGAGCCUGAUUUGCAGUCUGUGAGCUUGUGCUUGCUGGUCACCAGCCAAAUCAGAAACCUUGCUCUUUGGCCACAUGGGGAAAGGGGAUUUAGGAUUUGUAGACAGAUUUUUC